rnacentral:rRNA from 1 species
CACUAUCGUUAACUGAAUACAUAGGUUAACGAGGCGAACCGGGGGAACUGAAACAUCUAAGUACCCCGAGGAAAAGAAAUCAACCGAGAUUCCCCCAGUAGCGGCGAGCGAACGGGGAGCAGCCCAGAGUCUGAAUCAGCUUGUGUGUUAGUGGAACGGUCUGGAAAGUCCGACGGUACAGGGUGAUAGUCCCGUACACCAAAAUGCACAGGUUGUGAACUCGAAGAGUAGGGCGGGACACGUGGUAUCCUGUCUGAAUAUGGGGGGACCAUCCUCCAAGGCUAAAUACUCCUGACUGACCGAUAGUGAACCAGUACCGUGAGGGAAAGGCGAAAAGAACCCCGGCGAGGGGAGUGAAAAAGAACCUGAAACCGUGUACGUACAAGCAGUGGGAGCACCUUCGGGUGUGACUGCGUACCUUUUGUAUAAUGGGUCAGCGACUUAUAUUCUGUAGCAAGGUUAACCGUAUAGGGGAGCCGCAGGGAAACCGAGUCUUAACUGGGCGUUAAGUUGCAGGGUAUAGACCCGAAACCCGGUGAUCUAGCCAUGGGCAGGUUGAAGGUUGGGUAACACUAACUGGAGGACCGAACCGACUAAUGUUGAAAAAUUAGCGGAUGACUUGUGGCUGGGGGUGAAAGGCCAAUCAAACCGGGAGAUAGCUGGUUCUCCCCGAAAGCUAUUUAGGUAGCGCCUCGUGAACUCAUCUUCGGGGGUAGAGCACUGUUUCGGCUAGGGGGUCAUCCCGACUUACCAACCCGAUGCAAACUACGAAUACCGAAGAAUGUUAUCACGGGAGACACACGGCGGGUGCUAACGUCCGUCGUGAAGAGGGAAACAACCCAGACCGCCAGCUAAGGUCCCAAAGUCAUGGUUAAGUGGGAAACGAUGUGGGAAGGCACAGACAGCCAGGAUGUUGGCUUAGAAGCAGCCAUCAUUUAAAGAAAGCGUAAUAGCUCACUGGUCGAGUCGGCCUGCGCGGAAGAUGUAACGGGGCUAAACCAUGCACCGAAGCUGCGGCAGCGACACUAUGUGUUGUUGGGUAGGGGAGCGUUCUGUAAGCCUGCGAAGGUGACCUGUGAGGGUUGCUGGAGGUAUCAGAAGUGCGAAUGCUGACAUAAGUAACGAUAAAGCGGGUGAAAAGCCCGCUCGCCGGAAGACCAAGGGUUCCUGUCCAACGUUAAUCGGGGCAGGGUGAGUCGACCCCUAAGGCGAGGCCGAAAGGCGUAGUCGAUGGGAAACAGGUUAAUAUUCCUGUACUUGGUGUUACUGCGAAGGGGGGACGGAGAAGGCUAUGUUAGCCGGGCGACGGUUGUCCCGGUUUAAGCAUGUAGGCUGGUUGUCCAGGCAAAUCCGGAUAAUCAAGGCUGAGGUGUGAUGACGAGGCACUACGGUGCUGAAGUAACAAAUGCCCUGCUUCCAGGAAAAGCCUCUAAGCAUCAGGUAACAUCAAAUCGUACCCCAAACCGACACAGGUGGUCAGGUAGAGAAUACCAAGGCGCUUGAGAGAACUCGGGUGAAGGAACUAGGCAAAAUGGUGCCGUAACUUCGGGAGAAGGCACGCUGGUGUGUAGGUGAAGUCCCUGCGGAUGGAGCUGAGACCAGUCGAAGAUACCAGCUGGCUGCAACUGUUUAUUAAAAACACAGCACUGUGCAAACACGAAAGUGGACGUAUACGGUGUGACGCCUGCCCGGUGCCGGAAGGUUAAUUGAUGGGGUUAUCCGUAAGGAGAAGCUCUUGAUCGAAGCCCCGGUAAACGGCGGCCGUAACUAUAACGGUCCUAAGGUAGCGAAAUUCCUUGUCGGGUAAGUUCCGACCUGCACGAAUGGCGUAAUGAUGGCCAGGCUGUCUCCACCCGAGACUCAGUGAAAUUGAACUCGCUGUGAAGAUGCAGUGUACCCGCGGCAAGACGGAAAGACCCCGUGAACCUUUACUAUAGCUUGACACUGAACAUUGAGCCUUGAUGUGUAGGAUAGGUGGGAGGCUUUGAAGCGUGGACGCCAGUCUGCGUGGAGCCAACCUUGAAAUACCACCCUUUAAUGUUUGAUGUUCUAACGUUGGCCCCUUACCGGGGUUGCGGACAGUGUCUGGUGGGUAGUUUGACUGGGGCGGUCUCCUCCCAAAGCGUAACGGAGGAGCACGAAGGUUAGCUAAUCCUGGUCGGACAUCAGGAGGUUAGUGCAAUGGCAUAAGCUAGCUUGACUGCGAGCGUGACGGCGCGAGCAGGUGCGAAAGCAGGUCAUAGUGAUCCGGUGGUUCUGAAUGGAAGGGCCAUCGCUCAACGGAUAAAAGGUACUCCGGGGAUAACAGGCUGAUACCGCCCAAGAGUUCAUAUCGACGGCGGUGUUUGGCACCUCGAUGUCGGCUCAUCACAUCCUGGGGCUGAAGUAGGUCCCAAGGGUAUGGCUGUUCGCCAUUUAAAGUGGUACGCGAGCUGGGUUUAGAACGUCGUGAGACAGUUCGGUCCCUAUCUGCCGUGGGCGCUGGAGAAUUGAGGGGGGCUGCUCCUAGUACGAGAGGACCGGAGUGGACGCAUCACUGGUGUUCGGGUUGUCAUGCCAAUGGCACUGCCCGGUAGCUAAAUGCGGAAGAGAUAAGUGCUGAAAGCAUCUAAGCACGAAACUUGCCCCGAGAUGAGUUCUCCCUGAGACUUUAAGUCUCCUGAAGGAACGUUAAAGACGAUGACGUUGAUAGGCCGGGUGUGUAAGCGCAGCGAUGCGUUGAGCUAACCGGUACUAAUGAACCGUGAGGCUUAACCUU